CACACAUUGCUUUGGCUGUGAGCCGUGUACCUUAUCACCACAGCUUUCCAUUGGUCAGGCUAUUCUAAUGGAAAAUCUUGUUUAAUUAUGGAAUCUUUUAGUUAAAUGCCAUUGUCUCUAAUCAGCGUUUUCCUGGACGUGAACAUACUGAAGACCACAACAUCAGACAACCUGAAGAACUCCCAUGGUGUGGAUUUUGAGCUGCAGAAGACUGGCGCCUCCUUUUAGUGUAUCAGCAAGGCUGAUACAUCAUCCAUCAGAGGGCCUGAGGCUCUUGGACCGCAACUGAGGACACACUGGCCUGACAACUGGAUGAGCUUGGCCCAAUCCCUCCUUGUCCCCCUCUACCUGCUACCUACCUGUUGCAGCCUCCACUGGUUCUUUCUCCCCUGCACUCACCAGAAACUUGGAUUCCAUUACUUUCCAUGACAUCUUUAUGAAAAGACAUCUGACCAUAGGGUCUUGAAGUUUUAAUACUUUCUCUAUGGUCAUUAUGGAUAUUGUCUUGAGACUGCUGGCGAUAGGGAGGAGGUCAGAGACCUGGCAGUGUGGUGCCAGGACAACAACCUCUCCCUCAACGUGAUCAAAACAAAGGAGAUGAUCGUGGACUACAGGAAGAGGAGGGCCAAGUACGCCCCCAUUAACAUCAACGGGGCUGUAGUGGAGCGGGUCUACAUCACCAACAAACUAGCAUGGUCCUAACACACCAAGACAGUUGUGAAGAGGGCACGACACGUUUUCCCCCUCAGUAGACUGAAAAGAUUUGGCAUGGGUCCUCAGAUCCUCAAAAAUGUCAACAGCUGCACAAUCGAGAGCAACUGCUCAGCAUCCGACCGCAAGGCGCUACACGCGGUAUGUGCAUACGGCCCAGUACAUUACUGGGGCCAAGCUUCAAAUCAAGUCAGAUUUGAUUUCCUACCAUCCAGGAACUCUAUACCAAGCGGUGUCAGAGGAAGGCCCUAAAAAUGGUCAAAUACUCCAGCCAUCCUAUUCAUAGACUGUUAUCUCUGCUACCGCACGGAAAGCGUUACCGGAGCACCAAGUCUAGGUGUAAAAUGUAUUGGUCGCUAAAUGCAGAGAAUUUACGGACCAUGUAAAAAACUGUUGUUCACUAAAUCCGUCUAAGGGCCAUACAAAAAUGGCUGGCUGGUAUGCCCUCACCCGUCUGAGCAGUCGGCUGCCCUCACCCGUCUGAGCGGUCAGCUGUGAAUGUCCUCACCCGUCUGAGCGGUCGGCUGUGAAUGUCCUCACCCGUCUGAGCAGUCAGCUGUGAAUGUCCUCACCCGUCUGAGCGGUCGGCUGUGAAUGUCCUCACCCAUCUGAGCGGUCGGCUGUGAAUGUCCUCACCCGUUAUAAACUUACUGUACAACUGAUUGGUUUGGUUCUGUCCUCUAUAGUGCUGUCUGGUUAGAACAUGAUGUUGAGGCCCAUCACGGUACACUUGAUAGUCACCACCACACACACACACACACACACACACACACACACACAGUUGUCUUUGGUAAUCUGAAAGAGACUUGGAAUCUUAUUGUUAUGGUUCUAUAAGACAAUGAUAUUCACACAUGUUAAGGGUUAUAACUAUAAAAUAUACAUACAGUACCAGU